GAGCAGGCUUGAUAAGACUGGGUGUCAGCUUGGGCUGCAGUUUGUGAACCGUUGCAUCUUUUGGAAGGACUCUGUCUAACGCCCUUGGAGAAAUCUAUUAAUGUUGAUACAACCUACACUCCCUUUGGAGGAGUUGAAGAAACAUUUUUGAAGGAUACUUUGAAGAACUCCAUAAACCAGGGAGGAUGUAAAGUUUAUCACGUUUGGGACACAACAAUUUCACUUCUGAGGAAGCUCACUGGGAAACAAGGACUUAUCGCAAAAACUUGUCAAGUGAUUUAUGUAUGUUCAGUGUUUUACUAUAAUAAGUGACUUAAAUGAUUCAUGUAUAAUAAGUAACUUAGAUUAAUGAAGUGAUUUAAGAAGUUUCAUUCAUUUCUUGUAUUGGGUGGUAACUUUUUUCUUUGUAUAAAAACAAAACAGAGCAGCCAGAAAGGAGAGACUGCGGCAACCCCUAAGGGGUAAAAGCUUUCUUUUAUAAGCUGUUCUUCAUAAAUGUAUCUAACCCCCCUUUAAAGCCAUCAUCACAUCUUGUGGCUGUGAAUUCCAUGCAUUAUUUAUGUGUUGCAUCUGAAUUACGGUGUAAGAGAUGUACACUAAGCAUACGUUCCAUGUACUCUGCUGUUAAAUGAAUCUUUAAUUUUGCUUUUU